rnacentral:tRNA from 1 species
GCGGGAAUAGCUCAGCUGGUAGAGCAUCACCUUGCCAAGGUGAGGGUCGCGGGUUCAAAUCCCGUUUCCCGCUCCA